AUUGAACGCUGGCGGCAUGCUUUACACAUGCAAGUCGAACGGCAGCGGGGGCUUCGGCCUGGCGGCGAGUGGCGAACGGGUGAGUAAUGCAUCGGAACGUGCCCAGUAGUGGGGGAUAGCCCGGCGAAAGCCGGAUUAAUACCGCAUACGACCUGAGGGUGAAAGCGGGGGACCGAAAGGCCUCGCGCUAUUGGAGCGGCCGAUGUCGGAUUAGCUAGUUGGUGGGGUAAAGGCUUACCAAGGCGACGAUCCGUAGCUGGUCUGAGAGGACGACCAGCCACACUGGGACUGAGACACGGCCCAGACUCCUACGGGAGGCAGCAGUGGGGAAUUUUGGACAAUGGGGGCAACCCUGAUCCAGCCAUGCCGCGUGCGGGAAGAAGGCCUUCGGGUUGUAAACCGCUUUUGUUCGGGAAGAAAUCCUCUGGGCUAAUACCCCGGGGGGAUGACGGUACCGGAAGAAUAAGCACCGGCUAACUACGUG
rnacentral:rRNA from 1 species